GGAGGCAAAAGGUUGUUAGGCGCUAGCAGGGAAGGAUCCACACACUGUGGCACUGCGGGAAUAUGCUGUGAUUCUUGAGCUCCCUUCCAAGCUCUUGAAUCCUGUAGUAUUUUCAGAACAGUUUCUUCAACAGAAAAAUCUUUACUUUCAAACAGUAACUUAUUCCUGUUAGUCCAUAGGGUCCAAAACACCCAUGGGAACAAGGGAAUGUCGCUUAGACCCGUUGGGGGCAGAUUAACAAUUUUACUGCAGCUUUCGAUGAGGUUCAUGACUGAGUUUGGUAGCUGUGGAUGUGAGGACGGUGAGUGCAUACAUGGAAGCUGACUCCAAACUCUCUUAGCAAAAGGGCAUUCGAACAAAACAUGGAGUUCUGUUUCUAGUUCCCCACAUCUCUUACAGUUUGCAUCAAUGGCCAUUCCUCUGUUUUGGAUCGCUGAGCCCACGGGUAAGGCUCCUGCCGUAGCUUUCCAGAGUAGAUGUCUUAGUUUUGGGGAGGUAUUAACCUGCCAGAUGCGUUUCUUCCAGUCAAACUGGUCAAAAGGCUCAGCCUCAGUGUUGAGUUUGGCAACUGCGUAACCCGAUUUUGUAGUAUAAGUCCCUGACUUAUCCUUUAGCCACACCAGUUCGUCGCUCAUAUUACAGUCACUGGGGGUGAUCGCCUUAAUGUUCUCCUCAUACUGAGGCAGGUGCUCUCUUAUGGCUUGUACGUUCCACUCGGAGGAGUUAGGUAGCAGGAGGUCAGCCACACAUAGGUUAGCGUUCUCUAGUGUUGGUGGCCCUAUGGGAGUUGAAGGUCUGUCGAGUUGUAGCCAUGGUUGAGACCAGACCGGAAUCGAUUUCCCAUUUCCCACAAUCCAGCCAAGGCCCUUCUUUAGCACCUCCCGCCCCGCUAGUAUACUUCGCCAGCCAUGAGAUGCUGAGGCCGGAGCAACACAAUCCAAAAAAGAUGAAUUGUUGCAGUAUUUUCCCAUGAGGAUUUGGGUAAGCAGGGACUGAGGUUCCUUUAGCAUUCUCCAAGCAAGUUUUGCAAGCAAAGCAUCAUUAAACUGUUCUAUCUCCCUGAAUCCCAAGCCCCCAACACUUUUUGGCCGAGUUAGCCUUGUCCAAGAGACCCAGCACAGUUUUCGAAUCUCGGGUUUUGCAUCCCACCAGAAUCGAGUUAAGACGCUUUGUAUCUGUUUACAUACUGAGAGUGGAAGCUUGAAACACGUCAUUGUGUACGUUGGGAGAGCGGCUAGAACUGCUUGUAAGAGAACCUGCUUUCCAGCACUCGAAAGGUAUCUCGUGGACCAGCUUAUUGAUUUUUGACGGAUCCUGUCAAUAAGCUUUGAGAAAAUAUCCCUCUUCUUUCUCCCAAAAUGCUCGGGGAGUCCUAAAUAUUUUCCGGCCCCUCCCUCACUGUGAAUAUUGAGGAAGUCCUUUACUCGUGUCUUCACCUCGCUUGGUGUUUUUGCAGAGAAGGUAAUAGCCGAUUUACCCAGGUUGAUACACUGUCCUGAAGCACCUUCGUAUAAGGAUAACACCCUCUUCAACGCUUCACAGCAUGCUACACUUGUUUUAGUAAAAAACAUAGUGUCGUCUGCGAACAACAAGUGGUUUACGGGGGGGCAUCUUCUCGCCACUUUUAUCCCGGCCAAGUUCCCAUUCUGCAUUGCUCUAGAACACAGUCCAGAGAGAACUUCGGUGCACAAAAUGAACAAGUAGGGCGAGAGUGGGUCUCCUUGCCUAAUCCCCCGAGACGGAACCACUUUUCCUUGUGCUGAUCCGUUCACCAAGAAGGAGUAUGAGACUGAGCGAAUACACUCCAUAAUCCAUGAGAUCCAAAUGGGGUGAAAACCAAGUCUAACGAGUACUCUCUCAAGGAAACUCCACUUGAUCCUAUCAUACGCUUUGCUCAUAUCCGUUUUCACAGCCAUGGAGCAUCGUACUUUUGCCCCGGAGGUUCGGAGACAGUGGAGGACUUCAUGUGUGAUGAGCACAUUGUCAGAUAUUGCUCUUCCCUUUACGAAGGCGGAUUGGUUACUCGAUAUGAUGGCUUGGAGCACUGGUUGGAGCCGACUGGUGAGUACUUUUGCGAUGAUCUUGUAGUGGGUACUGCACAAAGCAAUCGGCCUGUAAUCCGCAACCGCCUUAGCGCCUCUGGUUUUCGGUAUUAACCUGACGUGGGUUUCGUUGUAACGGCCAUCAAGUGUGUUCGAAGUGAAAAAAUUUCCAACUUCUGCCGUUACAUCAUCUCCUAUUAUGUCCCAAAAGCUUUGGUAGAAGCUUGCCGAGAACCCAUCCGGCCCGGGAGCUUUAUCUGGGUUGAUGGAAAAGACCGCUCUCUUGAUCUCGUGUUUAUCUGGAAUCCUAAUUAAGGCAUCGUUCAUAUCAGUGGUGAUGAGCGGGAAGAGGACCUCGUCGAUGACUUGCAACGAAGUCGUCUGUCUCGAGGAGAAGAGAUCUCUAUAAUACUCUGAGAUAGUAUUGACUAUGUGAUCUUCCUCGUACAUCGCUCGGCCAUUGGCAUCUUCUAUCACCGAGAACUUGUUAAUAGUUCGUCUUUCCCUGGUUAUGGCAUGAAAGAACCCGGAGUUCCGGUCUCCACUAUGCAACCAAAGGAUCCGACUCCUCUGUCUCCAGUAGAGUUCCUCCUCGGUGUAAGCUUUUUCCAGCUUCUGUGACAGUGCAGCUAUCUCAAUCGGGUCAGGAUUUGCGUUCGAGAGUGCCUCCUCCAGCUUUGCUUGCGUUUCCAGAAUUGCCUCCUUGCUGUUCCGGUUCUGAAGUUUGGUCCAUUCCAUUAGUUUUCUCCUGAUCCUACAGAUCUUGGAGAGGACCGAUUCAUAUGAUCUUGCUGUCCAGUGCUCUUCAACUAACUCUUUUAUCUCAGGUUUGUCUUUAAGGCUUCGAUCAAAGCGAAAUAGCCCCCGCUUUUUCUUCUGAGUCUGAUUGAGGUGGACUAAGACUGGACGAUGAUCCGAGCCUUCAAAUCUCAGAUAUUCACAGCAACCGGAAGGGAAGAGCUCAGCCCAUUUACAGUUGAUCAUUGCGCGGUCUAGGCGGGACUGUAUAAAGUGACUGUACCGAGUUCCCCUCCACGAGAGAGAGUUGCCAGAGUGUUGGAGAUCCCACAACCCCAUUUGGGAUACAAAGCUCCUGAAAGCCAGAAAAGAUCCUUCCCAUCUCAAGGGACCUCCUACUUUCUCGGAGUUAUCCAGGAGGUCAUUAAAGUCACCAACUACUAACCAAGCUUCUUCGUCUCUUCCUAAACCAACCUCAGUUAACUUGUUCCAGAAAUCUAAUCUAUUUUCUGUUCUAGGCGCUCCAUAGAUGAAGGAGACAAACAUAGGUUUCUGUUGCAAGGUGAUAAUAGUAUCAAUAAAGUUGGGAGAGGAAGAGAGAAUAUCGACCUGAGUAUCGGUUUUCCAUGAUAGCGAGAGCCCGCCACUGGUCCCACUCGGGGGUACGGUGAAGUGGUUUGUAUAUUCCGUUCGCUGGAACAUUCGGAGCACCACUUCGUCUUGAUUCAUCGUCUCCAUAAGGAAGAUAACUUCAGGGGAAAUUCUUUUUUUGAAUUCCCUGAUUCGCUGGCCUGUCAGGGUGCUCCCAAUCCCUUGACAGUUCCAGCUAAGUAGCGCUAAGGAAGAGCGCUUGGGGUUGCCCGAAAAUCCUUUUGCUUCUUUGUUAUCGCUGGAAUAAGUUUAGGCUUCGGGACCCCUCUCUGUUGAGUCUGAGCUGAUUGUUUUUCCUUCUGUGUUUUUCUCUUAGGGGAGCUUUGGGUUUUGGUAACUCUCCUUUUCUUCAGAUUGAUUCCUUGGAGGGGGCUAGCAUUGUAUCUUUUCUUCUCCGUUGAAGUCCCUACUUUUCUUCUUGCCACACUCCUGGUGACUAUUGCCGGUCCAUCAGACAACCGAGACUGGAUGGGGAUAUCAGAUUGGCUUGAGGCCGGGAGAGGACCAAGGCGUAGAGAUACGUGUCUCCUAUCUUCACUGAGUGUCCUUAUCGGAGAAGACCCGCCUGGUGGUGAGCUGAGAGUUCCCGGGGGCCUAGAGGCUGACGGUCGAGUAUUGCUAUCUAGUCGUGGAGGUUCUAUUAUCUCUUCCAGAUACUGAAUCUCAAUAUCUUGAAGUCGACUUGAGCCUGUGGAGGUGCCUUGAUGCACAAGUUUAGAUUUCCCAUUAGAGGGUAAGGAUAGUCGGUCUCUUGCAGGGGUUCUAUCAGCCGAACGCUGAGCUCCCACUGUCUCGCCUUCCUCUCUGAGAGAUAGUGAUCUUCUCAGGUCAGAGGAAUGUGGAAUAGAAGGUGGGAGCAGUCUUUCUUUGGCUGGGCGCCUGUCAGUCGAGAGGCGCACCCCUGAAUCCACUUCUUCGUCUCUUCGUAUCAGAGUUCUUCGCAAGUCUGAUGAGUGUGGGGUUCUCGCAGGUAAAGCCGGAGAUUGGAUCGUCUUUGAAACUGAGUCCUGACUUGGUGUUUUCCUGUGCUCAGUUCUUCCUUCUUGCUUAUCUCCAUCGAUGCGGUGUGAUCCCAGUACAUUGUUUGCCCUCUCAGAGAUUCGGACUCUACUUUCAGUUCUAGACGCAGGUCCUAUUAAGAAGGGUCUGUCACUACUGGGGUCAUCCCUUCCUCUGCGGAACUCACUGACCACAGGUGAGAAGUGUCGUUGGUGUCGAGAGUUGUAUCUUUGGUUCUGUACUGAUAUAAUCCUUAUUUUUUCUUUUCGAAACAUUUACCUUAACUGUGUAUUAUUAUCCUCCCCUUUAAUCCAUUGUCUCAAUCUUCUUACUGUCACCGCUCACAAGUUAGCUUUGUGAUCUACACCAAUGACCUUCUUAAGGUUACAGUACGCAAACAAUUGUAGAU
rnacentral:lncRNA from 1 species